UACGGGGGGGGCAAGCGUUGUUCGGAAUUACUGGGCGUAAAGGGCUCGUAGGCGGCCAGCUAAGUCCGACGUGAAAUCCCCAGGCUUAACCUGGGAACUGCGUCGGAUACUGGAUGGCUUGAAUCCGGGAGAGGGAUGCAGAAUUCCAGGUGUAGCGGUGAAAUGCGUAGAUAUGCGGAGGAACACCGAUGGCGAAGGCAAUCCCCUGGACCUGUACUGACGCUCAUGCACGAAAGCGUGGGGAGCAAACAGG
rnacentral:rRNA from 1 species